AUACCCAUGGUGUAGUGGUUAUCACAUCCACUUAACAAGCGGAAGGUCUUAGGUUCGAGACCUGGUGGGUACA